CAGCCGCCACGGGAAUACAGAGGGUGCGAGCGUUAAUCGGAUUUACUGGGCGUAAAGCGUGCGUAGGCGGCUUCUUAAGUCGGAUGUGAAAUCCCUGAGCUUAACUUAGGAAUUGCAUUCGAUACUGGGAAGCUAGAGUAUGGGAGAGGAUGGUAGAAUUCCAGGUGUAGCGGUGAAAUGCGUAGAGAUCUGGAGGAAUACCGAUGGCGAAGGCAGCCAUCUGGCCUAAUACUGACGCUGAGGUACGAAAGCAUGGGGAGCAAACAGGAUUAGAUACCUCUGUAGUCCCUGUCUCUUAUAA
rnacentral:rRNA from 1 species